UACGUAGGGGGCAAGCGUUGUCCGGAAUCAUUGGGCGUAAAGAGCGCGUAGGCGGCCAGAUAAGUCCGGUGUGAAAGUCACAGGCUCAACCUUUGAAUGUCGAUGGAUACUGCCGGGCUAGAGUCCGGAAGAGGCGAGUGGAAUUCCUGGUGUAGCGGUGGAAUGCGCAGAUAUCAGGAGGAACACCAAUAGCGAAGGCAGCUCGCUGGGACGGUACUGACGCUAAGGCGCGAAAGCGUGGGGAGCGAACAGG
rnacentral:rRNA from 1 species